AUGAUCGUCAAGCACAACCACAGCCGAGAUGCCAUAAUGCUCAGAGCUCUGUUACACGGCGGCGAUGUGUGCAAUAGUAUGUACACUGAACAUGUAUCCGUGUUUGCUGUGUGAACAGACUUUUCUUCCCAGAGGUCACAAAUAGACAGGUACUGAUGCAAGGUUUAGAGAAGACGGAGCAGUCAAGACUCGUCUUUUAUUUUAAGUACUCAUUAUGUUGUUUAUGCUAUGAAAGAACACACUUGUAAUAAAAAUUAUACUAUUAAUGCAAUGGAUGAUGUUGUUGCUUGUUUA